AGAGUUUGAUUCUGGCUCAGGAUGAACGCUGGCGGCGUGCCUAAUACAUGCAAGUCGAACGGAGAAUGUAGCAAUAUGUUCUUAGUGGCGAACGGGUGAGUAACGCGUUGAUGACCUGCCCGAAGAGAGGGAUAACAGUUCGAAAGGAUUGCUAAUACCCCAUGUGGCCACCGGGAUUAGAUGCCUGGUGAUUAAAGACGAAAGUCGCUUCGGGAGGGAUCUGCGUCCCAUCAGCUAGUUGGUAAGGUAACGGCUUACCAAGGCUAUGACGGGUAGGGGACCUGAGAGGGUGGCCCCCCACAAUGGAACUGAAACACGGUCCAUACACCUACGGGUGGCAGCAGUAGGGAAUAUUGGUUAAUGGGCGAAAGCCCGACCCAAGCAACGCCGCGUGUGCGAUGAAGGCCUUCGGGUUGUAAAGCACUUUUGGAGGGGAUGAGGAAGGACAGUACCCUUCGAAUAAGCCUCGGCUAACUACGUGCCAGCAGCUGC
rnacentral:rRNA from 1 species